rnacentral:rRNA from 1 species
AGUGAACGCUGGCGGUAGGCCUAACACAUGCAAGUCGAACGGCAGCACAGUAAGAGCUUGCUCUUACGGGUGGCGAGUGGCGGACGGGUGAGGAAUACAUCGGAAUCUACUUUUCGUGGGGGAUAACGUAGGGAAACUUACGCUCAUACCGCAUACGACCUACGGGUGAAAGCAGUGGAUCUUCGGACCUUGCGCGGUUGAAUGAGCCGAUGUCGGAUUAGAUAGUUGGCGGGGUAAAGGCCCACCAAGGCGACGAUCCGUAGCUGGUCUGAGAGGAUGAUCAGCCACACUGGAACUGAGACACGGUCCAGACGCCUACGGGAGGCAGCAGUGGGGAAUAUUGGACAAUGGGCGCAAGCCUGAUCCAGCCAUACCGCGUGGGUGAAGAAGGCCUUCGGGUUGUAAAGCCCUUUUGUUGGGAAAGAAAAGCAGCAGGUUAAUACCCCGCUGUUCUGACGGUACCCAAAGAAUAAGCACCGGCUAACUUCGUG